CUGCUACAGUAAGCUAGUGUUUUCUUCGUGCCUAGGACUUUCCUAUAAUAUUGUUCAUUAUGACUUAAGGGAGCACAAUGCCACAGGUGGAGCCAUAGGCGUGCGCACGCCUAUGGUUUGAGUCCUGCAGGAACAGUGUUCCUGCACUUUUUUUUGAGCAGGAACGCUGUUCUUGCAGGCACUCAGCUUCCCCUGUUUCACCUCUUGCCCCUGUCAUGGGGGGGCAAGAGGUGAUGGAUCCCCCCCCUCUCUGCAGCUCAGCUGCGGCGAGGGAGCUGUCUGCUCUCUGCUUCCUCUCGCCGCGCGCUGAUGCCGGG